CGAGGGGCCCGCACAAGCGGUGGAGCAUGUGGUUUAAUUCGAUGCAACGCGAAGAACCUUACCUAGGCUUGACAUCCCAGGAAUUCUUAGGAAACUAAGAAGUGCCUUUCGGGGAACCUGGAGACAGGUGCUGCGUGGCUGUCGUCAGCUCGUGUCGUGAGAUGUUGGGUUAAGUCCCGCAACGAGCGCAACCCUUAUCUUUAAUUGCCAUCAUUAAGUUGGGCACUUUAGAGAGACUGCCGGUGUUAAACCGGAGGAAGGUGGGGAUGACGUCAAGUCCUCAUGGCCUUUAUGCUUAGGGCUACACACGUGCUACAAUGGGUAGUACAAAGAGAAGCCAACUCGCGAGAGUGCGCAAAUCUCAAAAAGCUAUCCUAAGUUCGGAUUGAAGUCUGCAACUCGACUUCAUGAAGCUGGAAUCGCUAGUAAUCGCGAAUCAGCAUGCCGCGGUGAAUACGUUCCCGGGCCUU
rnacentral:rRNA from 1 species